GGCGGACGGGUGAGUAACGCGUAGGAAUCUGCCCAAUAGUGGGGGACAACCCGGAGAAAUCCGGGCUAAUACCGCAUACGCCCUACGGGGGAAAGGAGGGGAUCUCUUCGGAGACCUUUCGCUAUUGGAUGAGCCUGCGUCGGAUUAGCUUGUUGGUAGGGUAACGGCCUACCAAGGCGACGAUCCGUAGCUGGUCUGAGAGGACGAUCAGCCACACUGGGACUGAGACACGGCCCAG
rnacentral:rRNA from 1 species